GACGAACGCUGGCGGCGUGCUUAACACAUGCAAGUCGAACGGAAAGGCCCUGCUUUUGUGGGGUGCUCGAGUGGCGAACGGGUGAGUAACACGUGAGUAACCUGCCCUUGACUUUGGGAUAACUUCAGGAAACUGGGGCUAAUACCGGAUAGGAGCGCCUGCUGCAUGGUGGGGGUUGGAAAGUUUCGGCGGUUGGGGAUGGACUCGCGGCUUAUCAGCUUGUUGGUGGGGUAGUGGCUUACCAAGGCUUUGACGGGUAGCCGGCCUGAGAGGGUGACCGGCCACAUUGGGACUGAGAUACGGCCCAGACUCCUACGGGAGGCAGCAGUAGGGGAUAUUGCACAAUGGGCGGACGCCUGCUGCAGCAACGCCGCGUGCGGGAUGACGGCCUUCGGGGUGUAACCCGCUUUCGCCUGUGACGAGGCGUGAGUGACGGUAAUGGGUAAAGAAGCACCGGCUAACUACGUG
rnacentral:rRNA from 1 species